GACGUAGGGCGCGAGCGUUGUCCGGAUUUAUUGGGCGUAAAGAGCUCGUAGGCGGUUCGUCGCGUCGGCUGUGAAAUCCCGAGGCUCAACCUCGGGUCUGCAGUCGAUACGGGCGGACUGGAGUACUGCAGGGGAGACUGGAAUUCCUGGUGUAGCGGUGAAAUGCGCAGAUAUCAGGAGGAACACCGGUGGCGAAGGCGGGUCUCUGGGCAGUUACUGACGCUGAGGAGCGAAAGCGUGGGGAGCGAACAGG
rnacentral:rRNA from 1 species